GACGAACGCUGGCGGCGUGCUUAACACAUGCAAGUCGAGCGGUAAGGCCCUUUCGGGGGUACACGAGCGGCGAACGGGUGAGUAACACGUGGGCGACCUACCCUCAGCUUCGGGAUAAGCCUGGGAAACUGGGUCUAAUACCGGAUAUGACCUUCCCUCGCAUGGGGGGUUGGUGGAAAGUUUUUUCGGCUGGGGAUGGGCCCGCGGCCUAUCAGCUUGUUGGUGGGGUGAUGGCCUACCAAGGCGACGACGGGUAGCCGGCCUGAGAGGGCGACCGGCCACACUGGGACUGAGAUACGGCCCAGACUCCUACGGGAGGCAGCAGUGGGGAAUAUUGCGCAAUGGGCGAAGCCUGACGCAGCGGCGCCGCGUGGGGGAUGACGGCCU
rnacentral:rRNA from 1 species